GACAGAGGUGCCAAGCGUUAGGCGGAAUCACUGGGCUUAAAGCGUGUGUAGGCGGAUCGUUAAGUACCUUGUGAAAUCCCACGGCUCAACCGUGGAACUGCUGGGUAUACUGGCGGUCUUGAGCCACCUAGGGGCGAGCGGAACAAGCGGUGGAGCGGUGAAAUGCGUAGAUAUCAUUUGGAACGCCAAUGGUGAAAACAGGUAGCUGGGAGUGUGCUGACGCUGAGACACGAAAGCCAGGGGAGCAAACGGG
rnacentral:rRNA from 1 species